UACGUAGGGUGCAAGCGUUAAUCGGAAUUACUGGGCGUAAAGCGUGCGCAGGCGGUUGUGUAAGACAGGUGUGAAAUCCCCGGGCUUAACCUGGGAACUGCACUUGUGACUGCACGGCUGGAGUGCGGCAGAGGGGGAUGGAAUUCCGCGUGUAGCAGUGAAAUGCGUAGAUAUGCGGAGGAACACCGAUGGCGAAGGCAAUCCCCUGGGCCUGCACUGACGCUCAUGCACGAAAGCGUAGGGAGCAAACAGG
rnacentral:rRNA from 1 species